AGACUGUGGCCGCCGGAAGCCACGCCCCCGGCGCCCUCAGCGCCUGCCAUGGCGGAGUUGGGCAACUUCCGGAUUCGUGAACAGGUCCCUUCCAUUGAUCGCGGCGGUGGAUAGGUUGGUGGCCAUCUUAGAACAGGAUGUGACUCAUCGUACAUUUCAUGGGGAUACCUAACGCAGUCAUUUUGGUGGUCCUGUGAGGUAGAAAAACAUUGUCCAGCUUUCCACGCGAGGAAACGUGGCUUGGCUACACGACUGGAUUCCCCAGUCCCGCUUUUGCCGAAGACUUCGAGGGACGCAUUUGGAGCGCGAGGCUCCAGCUUGGCGGUGAGGCGGCGGGCUGACUACCUUCCUUCUCCGAAGUUCAUUGAUUCGGCGUCAAGAAAGGCAUAGCCUCAUAGAGCUACAGCAUUUCCCAAAUUCUUAGUCUCAUAAAAAUGAUUGAGGGCCCCAAGCUGUUACUAAUGUGGAUUAUAGCUGUCGAUGUUACCAUAUUAAAAGUUAAAAUGCUUUAAA